GCUUACGGCCAUACCACCCUGAACAUGCCGAUCUCGUCAGAUCUCGGAAGCUAAGCAGGGUCGGGCCUGGUUAGUACUUGGAUGGGAGACCGCCUGGGAAUACCAGGUGCUGUAAGCU
rnacentral:rRNA from 1 species